rnacentral:rRNA from 1 species
CCUACGGGCGGCAGCAGUGAGGAAUAUUGGUCAAUGGGCGCGAGCCUGAACCAGCCAAGUCGCGUGAAGGAUGAAGGCACUUCGUAUUGUAAACUUCUUUUGUCGGGGAAUAAAGUCGGAGACGCGUCCCCGGAUGAGUGUACUUUAAGAAAAAGCAUCGGCUAACUCCGUGCCAGCAGCCGCGGUAAUACGGAGGAUGCGAGCGUUAUCCGGAUUUAUUGGGUUUAAAGGGUGCGUAGGUGGGUUGGUAAGUCAGUGGUGAAAGGUUGAGGCUCAACCGUAGAAUUGCAAUGGAGCCUGGCAGUCUUGAGGAGAGUGGAGGGAGGCGGAAGGCGUGGUGGAGAGGGGAAAGGCUUAGAUAGCACGAAGAACGCCGAUGGAGAAGGCAGCGUAAUAAACGGUCAAGGAAAUUGAUGCUCGAAAGUGUGGGUAGCAAACAGGAGUAGAGACCCCAGUAGGA